AGUUCCGACCUGCACGAAUGGCGUAACGACUUCCCCGCUGUCUCCAACAUAGACUCAGCGAAAUUGAAUUACCUGUCAAGAUGCAGGUUUCCCGCGGUUAGACGGAAAGACCCCGUGCACCUUUACUACAGCUUCACACUGGCAUCAGGCCAAGCAUGUGCAGGAUAGGUGGUGGGCUUUGAAGCAGAGACGCUAGUCUUUGUGGAGCCUCCCUUGAGAUACCACCCUUGCUUUGCUUGAUGUCUAACCGCGGU
rnacentral:rRNA from 13 species